rnacentral:lncRNA from 1 species
GCUGAUAUUCGGAUCUAGGGUUAGGCAAAACCCCGCGGGGUUUAGAGGGGUUUUGAGCUCAUCAACGGGGUUUCAAAGGCUUUGACUAAGCAUAAAUAAUUUAGAAAAAAUGAAAAAAUAUGAAACCUUCGCCGUUCGUCAUUUUAUAGGACAUACUAAUGAGGAAAAAUACUAAACUUGGUAUACGUACAUUUAGGGAAAAAACCUAGCUAGCACGAUUGAGGUAAAAUGAGCACCAUUAAUUAAAAAAAACAGAAAAAUAUAAA